UGGGGAAUAUUGGACAAUGGGCGAAAGCCUGAUCCAGCCAUGCCGCGUGUGUGAAGAAGGUCUUCGGUUUGUAAAGCACUUUAAGUUGGGAGGAAGGGCAGUAAGCGAAUACCUUGCUGUUUUGACGUUACCGACAGAAUAAGCACCGGCUAACUCUGUGCCAGCAGCCGCGGUAAUACAGAGGGUGCGAGCGUUAAUCGGAUUUACUGGGCGUAAAGCGUGCGUAGGCGGCUAAUUGAGUCGGAUGUGAAAUCCCCGAGCUUAACUUGGGAAUUGCAUUCGAUACUGGUUAGCUAGAGUGUGGGAGAGGAUGGUAGAAUUCCAGGUGUAGCGGUGAAAUGCGUAGAGAUCUGGAGGAAUACCGAUGGCGAAGGCAGCCAUCUGGCCUAACACUGACGCUGGGGUACGAAAGCAUGGGGAGCAAACAGG
rnacentral:rRNA from 1 species